GCCGGUUUAGCUCAGCUGGUAGAGCAACCGCCUUGUAAGCGGUAGGUCGGGGGUUCAAGUCCCUCAACCGGCACCA
rnacentral:tRNA from 1 species